UGGGAACAUACCCUUUGGUUCGGAAUAACUCAGGGAAACUUGAGCUAAUACCGGAUAAGCGUGAGAGCGGAAAGAUUUAUCGCCGAAGGAUUGGCCCGCGUCCGAUUAGCUAGUUGGUGAGGUAAUGGCUCACCAAGGCGACGAUCGGUAGCUGGUCUGAGAGGGUGACCGGCCACACUGGGACUGAGACACGGCCCAGACUCCUACGGGAGGCAG
rnacentral:rRNA from 1 species